rnacentral:rRNA from 1 species
UACGUAGGGUGCAAGCGUUAUCCGGAAUUAUUGGGCGUAAAGAGCUCGUAGGCGGUUUUGUCGCGUCUGCUGUGAAAACUGGAGGCUCAACCUCCAGCCUGCAGUGGGUACGGGCAGACUAGAGUGCGGUAGGGGAGAUUGGAAUUCCUGGUGUAGCGGUGGAAUGCGCAGAUAUCAGGAGGAACACCGAUGGCGAAGGCAGAUCUCUGGGCCGUAACUGACGCUGAGGAGCGAAAGCAUGGGGAGCGAACAGG